GUCACAUCUCUAGUUAGAGUUUAAUGGCCUGAGGUUAAUUGUUUCUGACUGGUUACGCUUUAAUUUCAUUCUCCUGUUUACAUUAAGUUGGAUUUGGCUUUGCUUUUGUAUGAACCCAAGGCACUGGAGCUGUUCUAAAGGCUUCCCAUGAAUCAUCUUAACACACUGGUGAGCUCAAUGUAAGUGUCCUUUUCUCUGGAGAGUCUGCUCUAUUCUUUUCCCAUCCCCCGAUUAGAUAACAUUCCCUAUUCUAUCUUCACAGCUAUACAAAUUCUUUGUAGUAUUUUCAUCAGCUGCAUUUUCACAUUUCUGUGUGUGUUUUUUUGUUUAAUGGCUGGGUUUCCUACUAGCAAAUGGAGUCCUUGAAUACAGGGAUAGAUGUGGCCAAAGUUCUGGACUGCCUGGGACAGAGAUGAGCUCAGUAAGGAUGAGUUAAAGACAUGAAUGCUUGCUGGGUGACAGCUGCUUUACACUCAGUGACUGGGAGCCCUAGUUUUCCUGUUAGAACUACUAUAGGCUCUGCAAUUCUCCUGCAGAUGUUGUUUGUUUGGGGUCUCUAUGUCCUGGUCUUAGCUGGGCUCAUUCACAUGUCUGUGGAUAGGCUGGAAGCUGGCUGAUCUAGGCUGGAUUGAUUGGGACCAAAAGGUUUUUAUUUCCUCAUCUUCCAAAUGAUGCUGUAAUACCCAGAGGACAAUUAUCUCAGUAGGGAGAAGUUUCCUAUAACCAUGAAACUUUUAACAAGGGAUCACGACACGUGAGAUUUGAGAGUUUGUGUAGAUGGAAGCAACUUGGGAGAGACUGGAGCAUGGCUUCUCCAUGGCAUUUGGAAAAAUGGUGCACAAUCAGCCCAGGGUCCAUGGCUCGAAGGCAAACCGACCUCCCUCAGGGCUACAAAGGCUCAGAGUUUGGCUUCCAGUGGUGUUCUGGCUAACCUCAAAUCAUGAAAACUUUGGAAAGAGCAGAUUUCGGUGAUCUGAGGGGUUGUCUCCAGUGAAGCAAUAACUUGAAAGGAAACUGAAAUUCAGCAAACACCAGCCCUUCAAGUCCUCAGAGAUGGACUCCCCCACCAGCAAGCUUCUGCAACUCUUCUCCUAUUGGCACUCGCUUGGAAUGGCUUGGGGGUGACUCAGCAGAGGGCCCAAAAUAAAACGCUGUUAAGAGGAGCUUGACUCACCCACAUGACUAGUUACUGGGUCAAUCCAAGGAGGCAGAGCUUGUUGCUUCUCAAAAGUUUCCUUCCCCAGGGGCCACCUGGUGAAGGCGUAUUUGGAAAGUUUCUGUGGGAGGAAAGGAGUGGGGUCAGGUGGGGAAAUGACAUUGACUGGUGAUUGACUUUGGCAUCCUUUGUCUUUGGUCUGAGAUUAGAGAUUAUCUGCUGACAGUCACAGUGAGCCAGCAGGGACAAGGAGCAAGCUGGUGUCAUGCACCAAGAGUUCCUCAGACAUUUCCUCAACAUGGAGCAUGCUGGGUGCCGAGAAGUGCUUUGGCUCUGAGAUUUCUGGAUACACAGAGGUCCUCACUGGAGUUCAUCCUGCCCCGAAUUCAGCUCACUCACAGGCAGGCAGAUGGUUCUUGCAAGGAUGCACAUCCACCCUCCCUGGAAAGCAGAACAUUUCUAAGCAGCAGAACUGAAGUGGUGCUGGGAGUUGUCAGGGGUACAGAAAGGCAGGGCCACCACCUGCCCAUGACCUCAGGGUCCAGGGUCACCCUUUAUUCCUCUCAUUAGGCCACCUAACAUCAGGGACUUCUAGGUUUGGGUUUGUGUUUUUUCCAAAACAAAUAUCAGAUCCACUUCUUUCUCUAUCUCUGUUGCUGGCCCUCACCCUCUUGCCUGAGUAACCUCCAGAAUGGAUCGCACCACUUCUGCCUUCCCCAGGCCCACUCGCCACAAUUCCCUCUCUACAGAGCAGCCACAGUUAUCUUCCUCCAGCACAUUCACCCCUUCAAGGGCGUCCCAUCCAUUCUGGGUAACCAUUACUGUGGAACAGUCUUCCUCCAAACUGGGUAACCAUAAAACAACUGGUACUUUGUUCUAGAUCCCAGUUUGUGGGUCAGGAACACAGACAGGGCUCUGCUGAAUGGGUUUCCUGUUUCACACAGCAUUGGCUGAGGUCACAUAGGUACUCAGAUUGGGGAGAAUCUGAGCUGAGAAUCCUGCCUUGCAUUGGAGCCUGGUUUGGAGAAUCCAGGAUUACUUCACUCACAGGUUUUGGUAAUUCAGUGGAGGCGACUGAAGGGCUGGAGACAGCUGGAAUUGUUGACUGGAGAGCCUAUGUCGCCUCUCUAGCAUGGAGUCCUUAAGAGAGUCGGGUUUCUUACAUAGCAGCUUAGGGCCUCCAGAAGGAGUGUUUCAAAACAAGAAGUGGAAGUUGACCCUUCCUUGAGAUCAAGUAGAAAACCAGCAUAGCAUCAGCUCUGCCAUAUUGUCUUGGCCAAAGGAGUCCUCCUAGAGCCUCUCAGAUUCAAGGGUAGAUGCCACCUCUGGAUGGGAAGAAUGUAUGCUUCUUCUUCUGUUUACCACAUUCCAGCACUCAGAAAGAGAUCACUUUUCUGGCCAACAAGACCCUCAUGACCCAGUUCCCAACUGCCCAUGCCACAUUCUUCCUCCCACAUCACCCUUAAACCACAAUGCACUCCUUCCUGUUCAACAAACACACCAAGCUUUCUACUCUUAACCUCAGAAACUUCAUACCUGCUAUUCCUUCUGUCUGAAAUGUCUUCCCCUAAACCCUUCUCAAGGCUGGCUCCUCCUCAUCCCUCAGGUUUCAGUUCAUGUCUCCUCCUUAUGCUGUGAGUCCCCUCCAUAGCAGAUUCUUCCAGCAAACCCCUACGACCAGUCUAUCACCAGGCAGUCUAGAAUGUUCUGGGCUCCCUGUAGAGACUGAAAGUAAGAACCAGUACUUAGCUCUGGGAGGUAAAGACGCAUGCUGUUGUUGGAUGGGAUGAGUCUCAACUCUGCCUGUGGGUAGUUGUUUGCUCCCCAAGCCUCACUGUUUCUCAUCCAUUAAGCAAGGAUAAAUGGCAUUCACUUAAGAGUGUUGCCAUAAAAAAGGAAACGAGCCUGCACACAUGUAAGCACCAUGCAGAGUCACUGGACACGGUAGAGUUUCCAUAAAUAUUACUUAAAAGACAGAACAAUGUUUUCCCUCCCCUACAUACAAGACUGGUUUCAGUCUAUAAUUUCCAUGUUACUAGACAUUCUGGUUGGGGCUCUGGGUUCCAGAUGUUUUCUUGUGUUUAAUUUGAGAGUGGUAAUCUCAGCCAGCCCAGGUCACAGAAUUCGUAGCAUUCCAUUCCUUACAGGGAGGGCGAGCAUGGGGGACUUGGAUCAGAGCAAACAAGCUUAGGAGCCGUAGGAGCAAACGCACAGCAGGCAAGAGAGAUUUUUUAAUAAUAGAUGUUAAAAAAUGAAUCCAAACAAGGGAAAUAUACCCACCGACUAGGGAUAAAUGUAAUGUCUAUCAUGGGCUGUGAUAUAUGUCUGCUCUGAGACCAGCUCGACAAAAGGCCAAAUUUUCUUAAAAGCAUGUUAAAAUAUUAAUAGAUAUUUGAAACAGUUUUCCUGCAACUGCUGCCAGUCUUGGGGAAGAUUACAUCAGGCUGGAAAGAACAGGGAAAGACGCUGCAAUGUCUUUGCUGUGGUGACCUGCCUGGGGCACCUCAGAAGCCACUUCAACAGGGCGGGCUGCGGUCUGGUGCGGGGGGGCCCUCAGGCUGCAUCUGUGUGAAUCAGAUGUGUGGAGAAUUUGAUGACUGGCCUCAGGGGCUGUGAUUCACUCCCUCUGGCAGGUUCUGCCAUCCUUUACGUGGUCUAUCGAGGUUCACUGGGUUGGCUCCAACCUCCCACUGGCCUCUUCUUCCCCCAGCCCCUCUUAGCCCCACGUCUACCGAUUAUUUUCAGACUCUUAUUCACCUCGUUCCCGCCUAUGGCAGGGCUUUCACUUUUUCUUUCUUUCUAGAACAUUCUUUCCUCCCUAUCUGAGAUCUCUUAUCUGUCGCCUACCCAUCUACGGCUUUGUUGGGGGGUCACACCCUCUCCAGCACCCCUGUAAGAUGUGUGUAAGUUCCCUACGGUCACUCCUUUCUCAUUCUCUCACUAGGAGUCUACGAGGAUGUAUUAAUCAACACUCCAUUGCUGGGACAAAUUACCUGAUAGACACUACUAAAGGGGAAAAGGGUUAUUCUGGUUUAUGGUAUCAUCCAUGCUCUGCUGGCCCCAAGGCAGAAACAUGACGGAAGAGCAUGGCCGAAGAAAGCUGCUCACCACAUGGCUUCUGGGUAGUAGAGUGGGAGGGGACCCUAAGAGGAAGUUCCCACCCCCACGCCUCCAUGACCCACCCAGACACACUCAGAAGUGUGCUUUGCUAAUCUCAUAGGCAUUGCUCCAGUCACGGAAGCUGACAGUGAAUGUGAACUAUCACGGUGGACAGAAGUGGCUAUAGGCUAUCUCUAGCCUCCUUAGGAACGCUGUGUGGAUGGGACUUGCAUGUAUUUCCCCUCAUCAUUGCAUCAACAGCACCUGGGACAGUAGGGAACCGAUAAAUAACUGAACAAAUGAAUAAAUCCAAGAAGGUUACCCAACACAGCACGAGGAUCAGGCAAAUCUUCACAAUCCCAAGAAGUGGGGGGGAUCCGCUGUGGUGUCUUAAUAGCCAUAUGGACUCGAUCCACCAAUCAACCUUCAGUCUCUUUCCUUGCCUUUGCAGUGAAAACAUAUUUUAAAAAGGAAAAAAUCCAACAUGCAGAGGGUCACUGGGAUCUCUGACCUAAAAGCGACAGGCACACUGGUGCCAACUUAACUAAUGCACUCAUCCAUGGCUUGCAGAGUUCUUUACUCAGGAGUUGUCCUCACAUCUUCCCCAGGCUCCCUAAAUCCACCGGAAUUAAUGGGACCCCCCCGCAACGAUCCGACCCUGGACUUCACUGUUGUCUUUGACUCUUCCUUUGUCACAUCCCUUCUGCAGCAGAUUGGUCAGUGAGCUCUGCUGAAUUCCCCACAACCUCUCUAGCACCAGCCCCUUCUUCUCCAUCCAGCCCCCUGCUUCCCUCCCUCCCCCUGCUUCUCUCCAGGAUGCUUUGCCUGUGGCAACAGUCUUCUUCCUUCAUCUUACUUCUUGCAAGAGUUCCUUCUGGUGUGUCCUUUUCUGGUGACACCUGGUAAUAUUUCUAAGUUACAAAGCUUCCAUUCAGCAGGAAUUUAUUGAUGAUGCUAUUACAGGACAGCCACUGUGAAGACACCAGGGAUGCUAGGGAAAUAAAGCUGCUCCUGACCUCCCAGGGGAGACAGAUGUGUAGCCAAUGACAGGUUUCUAGUGGGAAGAAAGUGACAGAUUCCUUAGAGCAGUAAAAAAAAAUGCCAAAUGACAUAGAAGUGGAAAGAGGUCGUUUAUUUAUUUCCUCUCUUCUUCUUCCCUCCUUCCCCUCCUCUUUCUUUUCCUUCUCUCUCUCUCCCCUUCACGCAUUCAGAAAACACUGUGCAGUGACAGGCUGAAUAGAUAAGAUAUGACAGAGAGUAGAGGCAGGGUGUGGAAAUGGAAUCUGGGUUUCUUGAAUCUUCUCUGCUUUUGACUUUGACCAAUGGAAUUUAUAUAUUUUUAAAGCUUAUUUUUUAAUUGCAAAAGUUGCUACCCUAUGACCUAGAAAUUCCUCAAAUAGAAAAUAUUCACCAAAAAGCCAUGUGCAGGAACAUUGGUAGCAACACUGCAAGUGCAAUUGCCCAGAGAGGAGAAAGUCCUUAAGUGAUACAAUACUAUCCUCAGAAAAUGGAAUACUAUACAACAAUGCCAAUGAAUGUAGUAGAAAAAGUUUGUGGUUGAAUUUCCGAAGCAUGAUAGUACAGGAAAGAAGCCACUAGAAAAAUGUUGUUAAAUUUUGACUCCAUUAUUAUAAAAAUCAAAACCAAACUGUUCUUGUCUAGGGCACUAAGGUUCAUUCAUAUUAUUAAUUGUUCAAUUAUGAUUAGAGCAUUUUUGUAUGUAUAUUACAUUUUAAUAAUAAUUUUAAAGAGUUUUAAGAAGAAUGAAGGAAUAAAUAUGUAUAAUCUGAC
rnacentral:lncRNA from 1 species